UGCGGAGGGAUCAUUACAGAGUUUUCUAAACUCCCAACCCUUUGUGAACCUACCAUUGUUGCUUCGGCGGCGGAGGCGCUACCCUGCAAGGUGCUACCCUGUAGCUACCCUGUAGUCCCAGGGAGCUGUCAUCAGCUCUUUAGGGGAGCUCACAGCCUAGCGAUGUUUUCGUUACAGGGCUGUAGCUCCGGACUGCCCUCCCCGCCGGCGGCCAACUAAACUCUGUUUUCUCUGAAACUCUGAAUCAUAAACUUAAUAAGUUAAAACUUUCAACAACGGAUCUCUUGGUUCUGGCAUCGAUGAAGAACGCAGCGAAAUGCGAUAAGUAAUGUGAAUUGCAGAAUUCAGUGAAUCAUCGAAUCUUUGAACGCACAUUGCGCCCAUUAGCAUUCUAGUGGGCAUGCCUGUUCGAGCGUCAUUUCACCACUUAAGCCUUGUUGCUUAGCGUUGGGGGCCUACGGCACAGCCUGUAGCCCUUUAAAGUGAUUGGCGGAGUUAGUUCUAUCUCUAAGCGUAGUAAUUUCUUCUCGCUUCUGCAGUAGUGCUGGCCCCCGCCGUAAAACCCUUUUAUACAAUGGUUGACCUCGGAUCAGGUAGGAAUACCCGCUGAACUUAAGCAUAUCAUAGGCGGGGAGGAAAA
rnacentral:rRNA from 1 species